rnacentral:misc_RNA from 1 species
AAGUCGUAACAAGGUUUCCGUAGGUGAACCUGCGGAAGGAUCAUUAACACAAUACUUUCUUAUCAACCUAGUUGCAUUCGUCUGACCCUUUUUAUUCAGAGGUCGACUAGAUCAUGGUUGGAUUGCGGUCUAGUCUGCUGUCGAAGUUAGCCCGUCUUCUCUCUCGAGAGAAGGCGACCGGUCUAACGCUCUGCUUAAGAAGGUAAGUAGCCACAACCAUGGCUGCGCCCAUUUUUUUUUUUAACCUUUGUUUAUUGUACUGAUUUGGGCUUCAGAUCGAGAGGAGCAAUCCUUUCUCUGCCAGCUUUUGAUGGAGUAAUCCAUUCAAUUAACCAAAACACAACUCUUAACAGUGGAUAUCUCGGUUCUC